rnacentral:rRNA from 1 species
UGUACUACCGAUAACCGUUUGAGAGAAGGGAUGACACAGUAGGAUAAGCUAAGCACACUGUUGGUUAUGUGUGCCCAAGCAUUGAGGCAGUCAAAGUAGGCAAAUCCGCUUUGAUAAUGCUGGGAUGUGAUGGGGAGCGAAAUUUAGUAGCGAAGUAGCUGAUUUCACACUGUCAAGAAAAGUCUCUAUCGAGGUUAAAGGUACCCGUACCGCAAACCGACACAGGUGGGUGAGGAGAGUAUCCUAAGGCCAGCGAGAGAACUGUUGUUAAGGAACUCGGCAAAAUGACCCCGUAACUUAGGGAUAAGGGGUGC